rnacentral:rRNA from 1 species
AACGCGAAGAACCUUACCUGGGCUCGAAAUGUACAGGACAGUCGUAGAAAUACGAUCUCCCAGCAAUGGGUCUGUAUAUAGGUGCUGCAUGGCUGUCGUCAGCUCGUGUCGUGAGAUGUUGGGUUAAGUCCCGCAACGAGCGCAACCCUUAUCCCUAGUUGCCAUCGGGUCAAGCCGGGCACUCUAGUGAAACCGCACAGGAUAACUGUGAGGAAGGUGGGGAUGACGUCAAGUCCUCAUGGCCUUUAUGUCCAGGGCUACACACGUGCUACAAUGGUCGGUACAAACCGUCGCAAACCCGCGAGGGGAAGCUAAUCGGAAAAAGCCGGCCUCAGUUCGGAUUGGAGUCUGCAACCCGACUCCAUGAAGCUGGAAUCGCUAGUAAUCGCGGAUCAGAACGCCGCGGUGAAUACGUUCCCGGGCCUUGUACACACCGCGCAUA